AAGCAUUGAUCUUUUCCUAGAACAGCUUUCAUCAUUUACUUUACUAAUCUGUAGUUUUGCUUUUCAACAGCUCCCAAAUUGUGAUUCGCUUGAUAAUCUGAAGGAAAAAAAAUAAAUCAGACUUUGUGUUUGGAAGAGGUGUGUGCUGAGAUUGUGAUCGAGUUUAGGACACAGUCUUUGGGACCAAAAAAGGAACACAGUAUUAUGGCAUUCUAGGAAAUACCCUUUGAAAGAACCGUUUGUAGAAUUGUUGAAGAGCUUGGAUACUUUUCCCAAUGCAUUCACCUAUCCUGAUAGGACUUGCUACCCAGUUGCCUCCACAAAUUCGAAGGAUUUCUAUAAUCUGAUUGAUGUGUACCUCGAUGCUGUGUUCUUCCCAAAAUAUGUGAAGGAUUUCCAAACUUUCCAACACGAGGGCUGCCAUUAUGAGCUCCACAAUCUUUCUGAAGACAUCUUAUAAAGGGUUGUUUUCAAUGAGAUGAAAGGACUGUACUCCCAACUUCAUAACAUAUUACGGUGGAUUGCUCAGGUGUUAAUAUCCUCUUUGGAAAUCUGGAUUUUCACAUCCUUAUACCCUAAUUAUUGAGUAUCAAUGUUCCUGUUGAGUUCUCAUUAUCCUCUUGCUGGUUCCAAAUGAACAAAGGGCAACCACUAACCCGGCCGGAACUGUGUUGAUCAUUCCAGCUAGAAGGAUUCCCUUUUUGAAGCAUCUUUCUCUUACUUUGCUUUUGGACCUUGCUUUUGUAGACAUGUAAUGUAUCUAAUAUUUGUAAAUGCAAUAUUUCUGACCUAAAUCAUAUUGACAAUAUACAAACAUCUUCUUCACCUCAA